GGAAGUAAAAGUCGUAACAAGGUUUCCGUAGGUGAACCUGCGGAAGGAUCAUUAUUGAAUUUAAACAAAGGGUGUUUAGGUUGUAGCUGGCUCCAUUAGUUUGGAGCAUGUGCACACCUUUUGCUCUUUUUUUUAAUCCACACACACCUGUGAACCUGUGAGGCAGAGACAUGGAUGGGAAAACUUUUGUUUACUUUUAGGGUAAAUGAUUGGGACCCCUACCCCCCCUCUGUCUACUCAACUCUAAUAUAAACCCAAUUUAUUUUAAAAUGAAUGUCAUGGAUGUAACGCAUCUAAUACUAAGUUUCAACAACGGAUCUCUUGGCUCUCGCAUCGAUGAAGAACGCAGCGAAAUGCGAUAAGUAAUGUGAAUUGCAGAAUUCAGUGAAUCAUCGAAUCUUUGAACGCACCUUGCGCUCCUUGGUAUUCCUUGGAGCAUGCCUGUUUGAGUAUCAUGAAAUCUUCAAAGUAAAUCUUUUUGUUAACUCAAUUUGGUUUCACUUUGGUAUUGGAGGUUCUUGCAGCUUCACACGCUGCUCCUCUUUGUUCAUUAGCUGGAUCUCAGUGUUAUGCUUGGUUCCACUCGGCGUGAUAAAUUAUCUAUCGCUGAGGACACCCCGGUAAAAAAGGGUGGCCAAGGAAAAUGCAGAUGAACCGCUUCUAAUAGUCCAUUCACUUGGACAAUAAAAUUAUUAUUAUUUUAUGAUCUGAUCUCAAAUCAGGUAGGNACUACCCGCUGAACUUAAGCAUAUCAAUAAGCGGAGGA
rnacentral:rRNA from 1 species